CACCGACAUUUCGAACGCACAUUGCGGUCCUCGGAUAUGAUUCCCGGACCACGCCUGGCUGAGGGUCGUUCAAUAAGAUGAAACGAGACUGCUCGUCGUCGUCGUAUUACGCGGCGGCGAGCGAUUACCUGAGCGCUCGUUCGCACUCCGUCACGGCUCGUGCUGCUGCUUCCGUAAGGUCGCGUUGCACGCACGCAGCUCGACGAGCGCGAGCUGCGCUUCAAAUGAGGAUCGCCACAACUUGGGAUCGCGCGCCACGCGAGUCGAGUCCCGGAGCUCUUUCGCGCGCUUGUCGCCGCGAGCGGACCGACGAGCUUCUUGGCGUUCGAUUCCAUUUCAUGUUGUCUAGCUGUGCGAGACCAUACACGUAUCGUUCGAAAGCGAAACUUUUUCUAACGACGACCUCAGAGCAGGCAAGACA
rnacentral:rRNA from 1 species